rnacentral:tRNA from 1 species
GGGGAUCUGGCUCAGGGUUAGAGUGCUCACCUAGAACAUGUGAGACGCUGGGUUCGAUCCUCAGCACUUCA